rnacentral:lncRNA from 1 species
UUAAGAAUGUUUGUUCAUUAGGCUCUAGAUUUGAUCUCAUCAAAUUCGGUUCAGAUUCAAUCAUUGAUGUCAGUUCUUCUACCUGUCGAACUUCGUUAAGCUCGAUUUUAGAGGCACUUAUUCCUUUACUAAGAAAUUUCUUUUCCAAACAAUAUGCCUUACUGCUGACAAACACUUUUUAUUUAGCAGGUAGGUAAAAGUAAUAUCCCCUCAUUUUCUUAGG